rnacentral:rRNA from 1 species
UACGGAGGGCGCGAGCGUUAAUCGGAAUUACUGGGCGUAAAGCGCGCGUAGGCUGUUGUGUAAGUUGGGGGUGAGAUCCCACGGCUCAACCGUGGAACAGCCCUUGGUACUGCGCGACUUGAAUCCGGGAGAGGGUGGCGGAAUUCCAGGUGUAGGAGUGAAAUCCGUAGAUAUCUGGAGGAACAUCAGUGGCGAAGGCGGCCACCUGGACCGGUAUUGACGCUGAGGCGCGAAAGCGUGGGGAGCAAACAGG